CCCCUAUAUCUCAACAUGUAUAGCCAGUCCCCAAUAUCUCAACAUGUACAGUCCCCCACAUCUCAACAUGUACAGUCAGUCCCCUAUAUCUCAACAUGUACAUCCCCCACAUCUCAACAUGUACAGUCAGUCCCCCACAUCUCAGCAUGUACAGUCAGUCCCCCACAUCUCAACAUGUACAGUCAAUCCCCUACAUCUCAACAUGUACAGUCAGUCCCCCACAUCUCAACAUGUAUAGUCAGUCCCCUACAUCUCAACAUGUAUAGUCAGUCCCCUAUAUCUCAACAUGUAUAGUCAGUCCCCUAUAUCUCAACAUGUACAGUCCCCCACAUCUCAACAUGUAUAGUCAGUCCCCUAUAUCUCAACAUGUAUAGUCAGUCCCCUAUAUCUCAACAUGUAUAGUCAGUCCCCUAUAUCUCAACAUGUAUAGUCAGUCCCAUAUAUAUCAACAUGUAUAGUCAGUCCC
ensembl:lncRNA